rnacentral:rRNA from 1 species
UACGAAGGGGGCUAGCGUUGCUCGGAAUUACUGGGCGUAAAGCGCACGUAGGCGGAUUGUUAAGUCGGGGGGGAAAUCCUGGAGCUCAACUCCAGAACUGCCUUCGAUACUGGCGAUCUCGAGUUCGGGAGAGGUGAGUGGAACUGCGAGUGUAGAGGUGAAAUUCGUAGAUAUUCGCAAGAACACCAGUGGCGAAGGCGGCUCACUGGCCCGAUACUGACGCUGAGGUGCGAAAGCGUGGGGAGCGAACAGG